ensembl:Y_RNA Y_RNA Y RNA
GGCUGGUCCGAGUGCAGUGGUGUUUACAACUAAUUGAUCACAACCAGUUACAGAUUUCUUUGUUCCUUCUCCACUCCCACUGCUUCACUUGACUAGCCUAAA